rnacentral:rRNA from 1 species
GACGAACGCUGGCGGCGUGCCUAAUACAUGCCAGUAGAACGCUGAAGAGAGGAGCUUGCUCUUCUUGGAUGAGUUGCGAACGGGUGAGUAACGCGUAGGUAACCUGCCUUGUAGCGGGGGAUAACUAUUGGAAACGAUAGCUAAUACCGCAUAACAAUGGAUGACACAUGUCAUUUAUUUGAAAGGGGCAAUUGCUCCACUACAAGAUGGACCUGCGUUGUAUUAGCUAGUAGGUGAGGUAAUGGCUCACCUAGGCGACGAUACAUAGCCGACCUGAGAGGGUGAUCGGCCACACUGGGACUGAGACACGGCCCAGACUCCUACGGGAGGCAGCAGUAGGGAAUCUUCGGCAAUGGGGGCAACCCUGACCGAGCAACGCCGCGUGAGGGAAGAAGGGUUUCGGAUCGUAAAGCUCUGUUGUAAGUCAAGAACGGGUGUGAGAGUGGAAAGUUCACACUGUGACGGUAGCUUACCAGAAAGGGACGGCUAACUACGUG